AGUUGCCAGCAGGUUAAGCUGGGCACUCUAUGGAAACUGCCCGUGAUAAGCGGGAGGAAGGUGUGGAUGACGUCAAGUCCUCAUGGCCCUUACGGGUUGGGCUACACACGUGCUACAAUGGUGGUGACAAUGGGUUAAUCCCAAAAAGCCAUCUCAGUUCGGAUUGGGGUCUGCAACUCGACCCCAUGAAGUCGGAAUCGCUAGUAAUCGCGUAACAGCAUGACGCGGUGAAUACGUUCCCGGGCCUU
rnacentral:rRNA from 1 species